GACAAGUAGUUCUACAAGAAACACAAAAGCGGGAAUUUUGUUGGCUUUUUUCAAGCUCUAUCCCCACUGCUUGGAAUGAUGUCCCACACACAGAAGACGGCCAAUAAAUAUUUGAGAUUGAAACCUAAGUUUCUUCUUUGUGUCUCCCAAGGAAUUUGACCUUGGAGUUUUUUGGUCUUUAGGCCAAUCUCAAGGUAAUUUUUGUUGGUUUUUCUACAUUCUCUGUGUCUUCUCUUUUUCCAUCACUUUCUCGUGCUUAUCCAUUGGCGCAGAGUGCCCCCUCUCCUCUAAUUUGCCUUUCCCACCUGCUUUAAAUUUCUCAAGCCAGUCUGGAACUCUAAUCUCCAGUGAAGUGGUUCUUAAACAUGGGAAAACACCCUGUCUCCUUAAUUUGUGGAGUCAUGGAAACCCUAUGUGGCUACCUUCCAUCACUUAUUGUUUUAAAUUUUGUGCUCAUGUGCUUCUUACCCAGAACUGUGACUUCUUAGGCCAGUAAAACCAUUCUCAUGCUACUCCAUCCCUGCCCCUUCCAACCUAACACAGAAUGCUAUGUAGUCAUGGACCCAUUCCAUUUUUUGAUAAUUGGGAUGUGAGUUUAAGUUUCUUGGGUCUCUCCCAUUAACUUCCUUACCAGAAGUCCUGUUAGGGUCUCUCCAUUUAUCUAAGUUCUACCUUUCCUAGAGUCAGCCUGCAUUCCCACUUCUUGCAGGAAGCCUUCCUUGAUAACUCAAGGGAAUAACUCUUCUCAGCUCUUGCAGUUGUUAAUGUCUGGAUAAUUUACUGGAAAUGAUGUAUGUGCAAAACACUGAACACUUAAUAUCAUGAUCAGUAUUACAAGCCUUAGCUUUUAAGCAAGUAACUGAUAUCUGCCAGACUAAAGAAACCAUAGCCCACCAAACCCUACAGUUUGUGAAGUGAAUCUUUUCAUAUCCUAACAUGAGGAGUAAGUGAAGGAAAUGGAUGCAGGAGAAGAUCAGGUUCUUGAGAGAGGCGCAGGAACGAACUUUCUAAGUGCUUCUGUGGCUGGCUGUGUUAGUCAAGGGAGUGCUGUUCUCAUUAAACAAUCAAGCAUGGUCUUGAUGCCAUCACUUUCUCAGGAUGACUUAGUGCAAGCCCCUUCUCCUUUCUGUUCCUAAUUUUCCACAUAUACAAAAAUGGGCCAGAAGAAUCCACUAUAGUUCCUUCCUGGAAAGAAUGGGUUUGAAUAAGGACCCUCCCCGAGCUCUCUCCGGCUUUAUAUUUCACCAUCACCCCCCUCUUCCUUCCUUCCUUCCUCCCUCCCCUCUUUCUCAGCAGUUCUAGCUACAGCAUUUAACUAAAAAAACUUAAAGACCGCUUCAAUUUCUUUUCUUUGGCCGUUGCUAUAAAAUGAUAUACUUCUGGUUUACUUCAAAUUAGAAUUAUAGAAAUUAUCUAGCCUCUACCCCCCCGCCCCCCAAAAAAAUGCCCUAGAAUAUUUUCAGGAGUAUUACUCGUAGUAGCUGUAGAUGAGCCCAUUCAAGGAUGCAUUUUAUAAGUUCCACUAUGGAAAUCAAAUGUUAGUAAUUCUUUUUUCUUUCACUUUUAUGAAGAUAUGAGCCUCCAAGCUUCAUUUAAAUUUCAAAGUUGAUGACACUUGAGAAACAGAUACCAAAAUCUUUUAAAGCUUUGUUCUUUUCAGCAAUCCAUAUGGUAUAAAACAUUCAACCUAAGACAAUGGAAGGAAAACUGGGACAAGUUCUGCAGGGUUGUAAUGAAAAAUGGGAGCUGGGAAGGAAUAAACAGAAACAUUCUCACUUUGGCAGGGCAUGGAGAGGGAGUGAGUUCUCAAAUUACCAAUAUUAAAACUUUACUUCAUUAAAAAAUCCAUGAGCAAUGUAUACCAUCAAUACGGUAUUUUCUACAAAAAAGGACACUGGCCGCAUUCUCUGUAAACACCAAUUUCCUAAAACAUGAAGAAGUGCCCUCCUUCGUCCCUUCUGCUUUUGCAACAAAUUGUACCAUUUCCUCCAAACAAAGUAAAUUUCCUGAGACCCCUCUGCCUCUACAGUUUCUCCUGACAUCCUAAACUCUUCCAAACAGUGACUCAAGAGGAAGCUUUCACCUUUCCCUAGAGGCUUAAAUAGCUCUAAGGAGUUAAGCCUGGCCUCCUGUCUUACUCCUUCCCUCAUACACUCUGGGCACUGAAACUUAGCUCCUUGUUGUGAAAGCUCUUGGCAACGGAGGAGGCCCCAGAGAUCUGAGCAAUGUUCCGCCUGAGAACAGAGAACCCUGGAAUCUGGUGGCAGACCUUGAAGACAUGGUCCUGAGGCGUGCAAAUCGGUUAUCAGAUUUCCUUAUCACUUCCUUCUUUGAUACGACUCUCCGGCCCAGCAAAAUUGAAAUCUUAAUAUCUUAAUACUAAUUGCUCCCCUCUCUUCUUCUGGCCCACGUGAGUCUGGAAAGUUUUGAGGUGAUGGCCGGCUGAGCACACUUUUCUUUUAAAACCUAAAUUAGUUCAGAGCGCUGAGUUUCUGUUUUCUUUUCUCCGUCUUUCUGCAUGAUCUAGGUACUUUUUCCUCCCUUUCUUCUCUACUAGUUUAUUAAUUUAUUCUCAAGGCUCUCUCUCUCUCUGGGGAAAACUGAACAAAAAUCGGAAAGGAAAGGCGACCAGGAGUCCACUUACCGUCUUCUGAACUACCAACAUCAUGAUGGUUGCCACAGCAAAGACAAGACACAGAGCCAGCGCCGUGGUGGUGAAGUAGAAAUAACCACGACUGGUGGUUCCCAGGUGGCUGGCCACGGAGCCCGCUGGCACAUGCAUGGCUGUGUCUCGAGAAGGGGCCACUCCGGUGAGUGCUUGCUGCAGCCCUGGGUCCAUUCUUAUAUAGUCUUCCCGCAGCACACCUUAUCUCUCCUCAUCUGAUUCACUUCUGGGCUCAUCUCUGUUCCAAGAAGGAUUCUCCCCCUGCAUCCUGGAUCAUGUGACGUGGAAAAAAACCUUCAUCGGCUGCCACACGGAGACACUCUUCUCUGGGGGCGUGAGGCGAAAGGCGGCAGCAGGGGUGGGGGAGAGGCUCAUUUUUCAUUGCCAGGGAUGAAUUUGAGUGCAGACAGAGAAGGUGGUUAAUGUCAGAGGGCGAGUAAGAAAAUGACGGUUUCCCUACUCUGGGGAGUGUGUGUGUGUGUGUGUGUGUGUGUACAAAGCAACUUCUGUUUCACUUAGACUCAGCCACAAAACGCCUUCCUGCUUGAGAAGCCGCACAUUCUCUGUACGAGGCCUGCAGCUCAGAAGACCUCGGUAGAAAAUGUCUCUUUGGGGGAGAAGUUGGGGUCCCUGGACGGGGCUAGAAGGACUCCAAAGGAUUCAGUCUGAUCGUAUCAGCUUAUGCUGAAAACUGGAGAUGCCACCAGCUCCCUGGGAAGGAAGAGCCCACAAAUGUGGAGAUUCAUCCCAAGAGGGCAUGCCGGCGGGAGGAUGAAUUGUGGGGGCGAAUCCAAAGAGCAGAAAUCUGGAAACACUGAUCUUAAAAAAAAAAAAAAAAAAAUUUCCUGCUGGCUGCACUGAGGGGGUGUCAGGCGUGCAGAAACCUGGGUUCGCCAGCACGCUCCCUGAAAGGGGAAGGGCCUGGCGAUCGGGGUGGGGGUGGGGAAGCAAGUGGAGCAGAAGGUGGGGGUGUGUUCUGUGAGGGGCGCAGGUGCAGCGUGCGGGGCGGUGGGCGUGUGGUUUGCAUGCAUGGCGCAUGUCCGCGUCGCAUAUGUGAUGUGGGGCGCGUGUUGUGUGUGUCUUCUGCUUGGGGUAAGGUGUGUGUGUGUGUGUGUGUGUGUGUGACUAUUGCAACUGAAGAUCAACCAUCUAGUGCGGGGCGCCCGGACUAGCAGAACUUGACACCUUGCCUCACUCCGCUCUCACCUCUGCCCUCUGACGCAGCUCACAUUUCCUUUCCACCGAGCGCAAAACUGAGGAUCAGAGAAUGUGAAAACUGUUUCGGCCAAAGUGGGACAUGUCGAUCAAUGACAUCACCCCGAGCUGGGGCCUCCAGCUGUAGCUCUGAAAACUUCAUUCGGAAGUACCCAGUCCUCUGUAAGCGCCCGCCCUCCCCUGCCUUUCUGCUCAUUUUUGGUGGCACGGUAUCUCAGAAGGCCAGCAGGAACCCCAGCUCCUCCUAAGGAAAUGCCCUGUAUUCAAAGUCAAGCUUGGAUGAUUCUUCCUGCUGCAAAUGCAGUGAUCCCAGACAGAUGAACACCACUGGAGUUGGGUCAGACUCUAGGGAUUGGUCUGAAUAUUCUUUUCCAGUGAAACCCUAAAAUCACAGAUCCUGGAGAAGGAAGAGCCAUCAAGAGCAGCCCGUGGGCCCGAUCUCACUGUUGUCCCCGUGCCUCUCCUCUACAAGCCUGCAAGCUUCCUGGCAUCCCACCCCACGGGUCUGAGCCCCCCUCGCUGCCCAGCUGCUCUGGGAUCCAGCCCAGCCAAUGGAGUGGUCCCAUCCUUUGUGCUUCCUGGCUGCUUUCUCUUUUUCAUUUGGUCACCUGAGAUACAAAUGGAAAGAGCUUUUACAGAGUUUCUUGUUGAGUGACUUUCAAAUCCCUUCUGGAAGCGAAACUGUGCAGUGAGUGCAGACACAUAAGAAAGUGGAGUUUUCUGGUUGAAGCAGAGGCAGGGCGACGAAGAGGCAGGCUGGGCCCAGCAUGUUCAUACACCUUUUAGUGGCCUGGGGUCUCUCCAGGCUGGAACAGAACUUGCAAACUUGCCAGUUAGCUCAAAACCCAUAUUCCUCAAAUCAGGAAACUGAGGCAGAGAAAUGGAGAUGAGUUGAGGGGGUAAAGUCAUGCUUAGGAGCCCCCUGUGCUCACUCUUACCCCUCAGGCACAGUCUUGCUUCCUGCCUCACUGACCUCACCCUUCCACUGCCUCAGAGCCUUCCUGCCCCUGCCGCCUGCUUCCGUCUCCCAGGGAGGCCUGCUCAGGGCUCUCAAGCCCACCACUGUCCUUUCUCCAGAAAAGUCCAUGGUCAUGCACACACUAUUGUAUCCUAUUAACUACUUGUUUUGACCUCUGUCAAGUGUGCGAAUACGGUGUGCCUUUUGCCUUCCCCGUUAGACUAAGAGCUCCUGAGGGCAGCCUUCCUUGCCUCCUACCCUGCAGUAUUUGCUGUGGGAUCCAUGUAUGAUUAACCUUCAGUCAAUGCUUGUAUUGACUUUGUGUUUAUGGAAAGAGAAGGUUCUAGAAGGUUGGUUUAUACAAAGGAGUUGCCUGAUGGUGUAUUUGUCUCUCACUUCUCAAUGGUCCCCGGUUUCCCUGUCCUUCUCUAGGGCUUACCUGGCUACCCAUUGGCCUUUAUGUUCUAGCAUGACCCUGCAAAAGUCACCACUAGCCUCCUUUCAACCUGUAGUCAGCUGAGGUGUGACUGUAGCAUCUGAGACUCGGUGAGCAAACAGGUCUAAUAUCUCACCCCUAUGGGAGGGAACAGCAUUUGAAGAGGAACCAGCUGUAGGACUGUCCCCCACUGUCCAGCCAUUGCUUCCCUGUGUAGAGGACUGUGAGGUCUCUAUCGUGGACUAAAAUUGUCGUCCCUGGGCCAGCACUAACAGAAUUUGGUGGCUCUGCAAAUUCUUCGGCUCCACCCUAGGAUCUACUUGAUCAGAAACUCACGCUGGGGUCUAGCAAUCUCUGUUUUAACAAGUGCCUCAGGGAACUACAAUUCCUGAAACCAUUUGGAAAUCAUCGGUUUAGGAAAAUAAUCUGUCUAAAUCCCAGAAAGAGUCAAGGGGGGGGCAUCUUGUCCAGGCUAUGGCCCUUUGGGCAGGUGAAGUCUUAACCCCACUGUGUAGAUGAGAAAACUGAGGCAUAGCACUGUAGCGAUCAGGGUGCUGGAGAUUGUUGGAAGGAAGCUUUGUUUUUUUUGUCUCUUGUUUGGGCCCACUUUCUAAACCCCAAUAUAGGCUGAAAAACGCUAUUGUAGAUGGAGAUAUAUUUAUAAUAUAUAUCUGAAGUUCUCUUGUGGUGAACACUGUGGUAGAAACAAAUAUUUUUUAAAAAAAUUUUUGGUGUAUGUGAGAGAAGGGCGAACUCCUGCAGGGUAUUUUCAAGCAAUAAAAGAUGUAGGAUGGAUCUCGUCCCAUUAACUGGAGAUCCCUCUGUUUUGCAAAGUCUAAUUUGAUAGAUUGGACAUUGGAGUUGGUCAGGGUGACACUGAACUUAGGAUCUAGUGGCUGCAGGUACAGUGGAUAUGGAAGGGUUAGGGUUACAGUCAUGGGCCAGAUCAGCCCACCACCUACUUUAUGAAUAAAGUUUUAUUGAAACAGGGUCAUGCUCAUUUGUUUAUGCAGAUUAUAGCUAUGUUUGUAUUGCAAUGCAGCGUUGAAUAGUUAUAGUUGCAACCCAGACAGAUCUCAUGGCCCACAAAAUCUAAAAUAUUACUAUUUAGCCCUUUGCCAGAAAAGUUUUCUGACCCCUGAUUUAAAGUAUCAAAAUAAACUCAAUUCAAGGCAGGAUUACAAAAGAAGGGAUUUGGAGAAAAGAACAGAAAUGCGUUUUUCUGAGAUUCCUCCAUAAAAUCUGCACUUAUAUUUUCAUCACUAACUCACGUUUUCAGAAGAGAACUUCCUUUCCUGGGAUUCACUAAUUGAGAAGGAGCUAGAUACCCUCAUUUGUGCAUGACCACAUAGACUACUGGAGAGGCCCCAGGAGCUGAGAGAGAGGCUGGCAGAAGAGAUCUGGGAAAUAUGUAGACAGAUAUACUUUCAGCAUUGGGAAUAUGUGUGUGUGUUCAUAAAUUAAUACAUAAUAGACAUAUAUAUGAAUCUAUACAUUACAUGCACAGGCACACACACAUGUUAUUCCUACCUACUUUAAAGAGGCAUUGAGACCACUUAAAAUAAAUGCACACGUAUAUUGGAACUCAAGCCAUUAAGACAAGGCACCAGGUAGGAGCCACGAUGUAAAGGGAGAGGUUAAGGAUUAAGAGAGGGACACACCCUGGCAGAGGACUGUGUUCAGCGGUUAUGUACAGCAUGUAUGCUUCUGAUGAGAUUCUUGGUAAUCAGGGCAAAGAAGAAAACAUGCUGGGUUGCAUAGCUCUCUUUGAUGGUAAAGAGCAGAUGAGUUCAAAAGGAGAAAUGGACCCUUUGCUGUUUGUACAGGUGCUUUGAAAUACAUAGCAUUUUAUGAAAUGGCUGAUGGUAAUCUAUGAAUUUAAAGCAUGGCGUGGCAAUGAAUCAGGUAAGAACUGAUGUGAACAAGUGAAAAUCCUGGAAUAUUUAAAAAGAAAUAUAGUCUUGUGAUGUUCAGUGAUGCAGAAUUAAAGAUGACCAGACGCUAGGGUGGUGGAGGAGUCAAGACCAAAAGGGGAAAAAAGAAAAAAAAAAUAAAGAGGAAAAAAAGAGCAUCACUUUCCUGGCAUCUAGGAGCCUCGGAGAGGGGAAGUACUAGAAAAUCCUUAAGCUAGAUGGUCCUUAAGACCUGCUUUCCUCGGAGUUGGUGGAGCCCAGAAGUCCAGACCAGCUGGCUGCCUCCUGGAAAGGUCUGCAUUUUCUCAAGCCUGUACCUGCAGUCUGUGUUCGAGGACACUGAACCCUUGCAGGGCAGGGUCUCUGCCCCCACAUGCCCUGCUACCCUCUUUCCUCACUGUAGGACUGCAAAGACCAUUGCACAGGGCCUUUCUCAGGUAGCAAGAUAAGUCUUGCGAAGAGGCAACAUUUUCAGAAAGAACUUGAAAAAAUACAUUUCCGGGAAAUUGCCUUUGACAUUUCAGAUCUGCUCCAGGGAAAACUGCUACAGAAGCUUUAAGCAAUGAACUGUCAUCAUUUGGAUAAUUGCCUUUCAACCAUCGUUGAAUAUCCCACCUCACAGACUGAAUCAGUUAUAAAAUGUCGGGGCUCUUAACCUUGAGAAGCCCACAGGGAUAUGCAAUCCGGAGCCAAACACCAAACAAAUCACUUUAAAACAAUUUUUAGUAGUUGCCCUCUAGAGAAAGUUGGGGGCAGGCAGCUUUGUUGUCUUUUUUUUUUUUUUAGUAAGGUUUUCCAAUUUUUGAGUCUUUGAACUGUUUGCCUUUUUAAAUGAUUUGACUUUUGAAGGGUAUUUGUGUAUAAUUAUGGUAAAAAAUAAAAAUGAAAUAG